rnacentral:rRNA from 1 species
CUACGGGUUGCAGCAGUGAGGAAUAUUGCACAAUGGGGGGAACCCUGAUGCAGCAACGCCGCGUGGAGGAUGACGCAUUUCGGUGUGUAAACUCCUUUUAUAUGUCAAGAAAAUGACGGUAGCAUAUGAAUAAGCACCGGCUAACUCCGUGCCAGCAGCCGCGGUAAUACGGAGUGGUGCAAGCGUUACUCGGAAUCACAGGGCGUAAAGGACGCGUAGGCGGGUUGGAAAGUCAGGUGUGAAAUCCUACAGCUUAACUGUAGAACUGCACUUGAAACUUCUAAUCUAGAGUAUGGGAGGGGGAGAUGGAAUUAGUGGUGUAGGGGUAAAAUCCGUAGAUAUCACUAGGAAUACCUAAAGCGAAGGCGAUCUCCUGGAACAUUACUGACGCUAAGGCGUGAAAGCGUGGGGAGCAAACAGGAUUAGAUACCCUCGUAGUC